rnacentral:rRNA from 1 species
AUGUACAUUCCUAUUACAUAGUGUUAAUGCACCGGAUCCCAUUAGAACUGUGUAGUUAAGCACACUCGGGCUAGAGUAGUACUGGGAUGGGUGACCGCCUAGGAAGUCCUAGUGUUUUACAUG